UUAAUUAACUUUUUUCGAUUUACGGCUCUCUUCUGUAUCAGUUACAAAUUCUUGUCACAAUUUUUUCUACGGAAAAAUAUAUGAAAAAGUUCAAAUUUGUCAG